GCAAGUCCACACUGAGCGGAGGGUAGCCGAGCUGGUGCUAUCGUUCCCUUGCUCUGGUUACAGUCUCUUCUUCCUUCCCCUCACAUGUGAGCAGAGAGCAAACCAAACUGCCCCCAAGAAGGGUCUUCACAGGAACAAAACUUUGGAGUUGGUGAAUGCAAUGUGACCAGCCACCUCAUGCUCUUGCCACCAUGCUGGACUUCACCCUCACAACUGGAAGACAAAACAAGCCCUGCCUUGAAUUAUUUUCAUCAGGCAUUUUGUCCCAGCAGUGAAACAUGAACUAAUACAGUCUGUCUCCCAUGAGACUACAAAUGAGAGUUGACAAUCUGCAGCCCUCACCAGAACCCAACUAUGUUGCCAUCCUGAGCCUAAGCUUCCAGGCUCCAGACCUGAACUGAAGAAAUUCUGAAGACACCAUCUCCCAAACUCACAGGAGAUGCAUUUAAAGAAGGAUCCCAGGGCUGCCCACUCUCCAGAAAGUUCCACCCACCCUGGCCAUCAGAAGGAGACAGAGAAGCAUUCUUCACUGGGGCCCAGAGCUGACUGUAACUGACCGGAAACACCCACGUCUAUGCAUCGGCUCCACCCACCAAAUGAAAGAACAAAAUUGUGCUUGCUUUUGUUCUCACCGCCCCCACGGAAUUCACAAAUGUGUGUGUGUGUGUGUGUGUGUGUGUGUGUGAAUAUGCUUGAGCCAUCACAAAAUUAGAGAUUUUUUUUUAAAGCAUUGACUUAGGGCCUACUUAUAAACCAGGUAUCAAAGAUCGGC
rnacentral:lncRNA from 1 species